rnacentral:piRNA from 1 species
UACAGGUUCGGUAAAUAGUUCCAAGUUGGUC